GACGAACCGAGCGAACGUUGUUCGGAAUCACUGGGCUUAAAGGGCGCGUAGGCGGGCCGGAAAGUCCGGGGUGAAAUCCUCCCGCUCAACGGGAGAACGGCCCCGGAUACUAUCGGCCUCGAGGCGGGUAGGGGCGUGCGGAACACUGGGUGGAGCGGUGAAAUGCGUUGAUAUCCAGUGGAACUCCGGUGGCGAAGGCGGCACGCUGGACCCGUACUGACGCUGAGGCGCGAAAGCCAGGGGAGCGAACGGG
rnacentral:misc_RNA from 1 species